rnacentral:lncRNA from 1 species
CCUAAAUCAGUUUUCAGAAAACAUCUUGUGCCUCAUACAAAGAAAAAGACAUGUUUAUUACACAUGUUCUACCUUGAAAGACCUGGAUUUUCUCAGAUGUGAUUAAUUCUCAAUCAAGAACAGAGGGAAUUUCUGUGUGCUCUGCAGUCCUUUCUCAACAUUUCUACCUGGAGAAUGCAAAAUUAGGGAAAAUGCUCAUCUUGGGAAUGUUUCAGUCAUCUGUGCAGGAGCAAGAAGAAAAGGGAGACCACGAAGGCUGAAUCCUUGAGAAGAUGGAGGCAUAGGAUGUGGUGUAGAGGAAUACAGCUGGAAGCCCCAAGGCUAUAAACAGCUGAACUAUGAUCAGUUUAAGAAAUUUUGAUCGGGAGUGGGACCAAACUGGAUUUAAGCAUAGCAAAGGUAACAUUCAUAAA